AGAGUUUGAUCAUGGCUCAGGAUGAACGCUGGCGGCGUGCCUAACACAUGCAAGUCGAACGGGUGCCGGAAGGUGCUAGUGGCAAACGGGUGAGGAGACCGUAGUUGACCUACCCACGAGCGCGGGACAACGGGCGGAAACGCUUGCUAAUACCGCAUACGCUCCCCUGAACUAGGGAGGGGGAGGAAAGGGGCAACCCGCUGGUGGAGGGGACUGCGUCCCAUCAGGUAGAUGGGGAGGUAACGGCUCACCAUGCCGACGACGGGUCACGGGUCUGAGAGGAUGACCCGUCACACUGGGACUGAGAGACGGCCCAGACUCCUACGGGAGGCAGCAGUGAGGAAUAUUGGUCAAUGGGGGCAACCCUGAACCAGCGACGCCGCGUGGGCGACGAAGGUCUUCGGAUCGUAAAGCCCUUUUCUGCGUGACGAGGAAGGACGGUAGCGCAGGAAGAAGUCUCGGCUAACUACGUGCCAGCCGCCGCGGUAAUAC
rnacentral:rRNA from 1 species